UUCAGUUACUGAGGAAGGUGCUCGGUGAGACUGCCUUUUUCCAACAAGGGCAUCCAGCUUGUUUCAUAACAGACAACAGUGACGCUGAGCGUAAUGCCUUGAAGACUGUAUGGCCAGAAUCUCAGCGCUUUCUGUGCAUAUUCCACAUCCUGCAGCAGGUCUGGAGGUGGCUGUGUGAUGGUUCACAUGGCAUCAAGAAGGAAGAUCGCCGAGUACUAAUGACAGUGGCAAAGAAUCUGGUAUAUGCUGAUUCAGAUGAAACAUUUCAAGAUGAAUGGAAUUGCUUUUGUCAGACCCCAGAAGCCCAAAAGUAUAACCAGUACAUGAGAUAUAGGCUACCGUACAAGAGGGAAAAAAUACAUACGUUGGUAUCUGGCAAAGCUGAUAGAAAGGAAGGAAGAAUGGAGUACUGUGUACAGGGCUGGAUUUUUGCUACGUGGACACCACACAAAUAAUUUUGCAGAAUCUACCAUGUGCAUCAUUAAAGAUAUCAUUCUC